rnacentral:rRNA from 1 species
UGGGGAAUAUUGCACAAUGGGCGCAAGCCUGAUGCAGCCAUGCCGCGUGUGUGAAGAAGGCCUUCGGGUUGUAAAGCACUUUCAGCGGGGAGGAAGGCGAUAAGGUUAAUAACCUCAUCGAUUGACGUUACCCGCAGAAGAAGCACCGGCUAACUCCGUGCCAGCAGCCGCGGUAAUACGGAGGGUGCAAGCGUUAAUCGGAAUUACUUGGCGUAAAGCGCACGCAGGCGGUCUGUCAAGUCGGAUGUGAAAUCCCCGGGCUCAACCUGGGAACUGCAUUCGAAACUGGCAGGCUAGAGUCUUGUAGAGGGGGGUAGAAUUCCAGGUGUAGCGGUGAAAUGCGUAGAGAUCUGGAGGAAUACCGGUGGCGAAGGCGGCCCCCUGGACAAAGACUGACGCUCAGGUGCGAAAGCGUGGGGAGCAAACAGG